rnacentral:rRNA from 1 species
GCCGUAUCCGUAGUUCGGAUCGAGGGCUGCAACCCGCCCUCGUGAAGUUGGAUCCCGUAGUAAUCGCGGAUCAACAUCCCGCGGUGAAUAUGCCCCUGCUCCUUGCACACACCGCCCGUCAAACCAUCCGAGUGGGGUUUCGAUGAGGGUGGACUUUUUGGCCUUCUCGAAUCGCGAUUCUGCAAGGAGGGUUAAGUCGUAACAA